GCCUCCCCGCCCUCCUCCCCUAACUCGCAGCCGCGGGUUUCUUAUGACCUUGUAAGGCCACAGCUCGCAUACCGUCUUGGGCACCGAGGGCGGGCAGGCCAGCGGGCUCACAUGGCUCCCCUUCCAGUUGCACUGGGACUUUCUGGAUGGCCUCCCCGCCUCAUCCCAAGGGGCCUGGGUAGACCCUGCCACUGCGGCCUGCAGCCAGCACCAAGCCUGGACGCUCUGUGGGUUCUUACUCUCUCCUUAGAUGGGCUGACAGCCCUGGGAGCUCUGCAUUCUUGGAAGGCUUGAAAGGCAAGCAGGUUACCAGGAGGAAGCAUUUCCUUUCAAAACAAGGCCUCAGAAGUUCAUUCCAGCUCUGCCUUGGGGUUAUUCUUAAGUCUUUUAAUCUCUGUCCUUAAAUUUAAGUACCUCGGGAAUAAGAUGGAUAUAAAUAACUACAAAUAAACUCUGUUUCAGAUUUUCCA